GGUAUGUUGUACCUUAGAUGCCCACUCACAUACAAUAUAGAUAAUGGACAAACUAAGUGACCAGUACUAAAACCACCAUUCAUAAAACAUUAAGGUACUAUUUCAAUGCCCAAAAUAGAGCUUAUUCUCAACUAACUACAGGUUAUUUGAUAAAAUAGAUUAGCUAUAUUUCCUCACUAUGUAUGUGAAAAAUUAAUUCUUGAACAGUCACAAUGAAAGAAAAGCCUCUAGUCCACUCCUUUAGGUGUUGUGCUUGCAGAUUUCCCUCUGAAAGGUUGGUAUUAACUAUUAAACUAUUCAAGCUAUUUAGUUUUUCUGUUACACAAUCUUUAGCUGCUUUACCUUUUUCAUUGUUCAAUAACUUCAACAGAAACAGCAUAUAAUCAACAU
rnacentral:misc_RNA from 1 species